AACGAACGCUAGCGGCGUGCCUAACACAUGCAAGUCGGACGAGAAAGUUUCCUUCGGGAAGCGAGUAAAGUGGCGCACGGGUGAGUAACACGUAGACAACCUGCCUUCCAGUCCGGGACAACUUUUCGAAAGAAGGGCUAAUACCGGAUAACACUUUGGGCCGCAUGGCCUGGGGUUGAAAGAUUUAUCGCUGGAAGAGGGGUCUGCGGGACAUUAGCUGGUUGGCGGGGUAACGGCCCACCAAGGCGACGANGUCUAGCGGGUCUGAGAGGAUGAUCCGCCACACUGGAACUGAGACACGGUCCAGACUCCUACGGGAGGCAGCAGUGGGGAAUUUUGCGCAAUGGGCGCAAGCCUGACGCAGCAACGCCGCGUGAGUGAAGAAGGCCUUCGGGUCGUAAG
rnacentral:rRNA from 1 species